GUGACAGGAUAUUUUGUACCUGCUUCGGACUGGUUCUGUCAUUAACCUACUGAGCUGGUGCUUCUGUCCCAGGUAAAAUGUGUUUGAACUUACAUUUGCAUCUAUACAUGAAGUAGGCAGCCUAGAGCAGGAGGCGGGCGUCAGAUCAGAGGGUUGCAGGCAUCUCCAUCGCAUCGCUCCUAGGCAUCUGAAAGUGUACCGUUGCGCACAGAUCAUGCUGGUAACGAGUUAUUCAAAGGGUCUACCAAUCAUGGCAAAAACAGAAAUCCAGCUCCUCAGCCCAGGCAGUGCCAACAACCCAGCUGAUCCAGGAGCUGCAGCGAGGGGUAGUGAUGACACUCCGGGCACCCCGACUGCCCUCUUCAACCAUUCCCAUGGAAUUCAUCCUGUCCAGCCUCCGUCAGAUAAUCCAGCCCUCCCCCUCCUACUUCCAGAGACUAAUUUGCAGAUUCUAAUGGGUAUGUGCUAAGGAGAUGAUGAGUGAACACGCUGCCAGUUUGGUUGCAGUGUGUCACCGAAUUCCGUAGAUUCAUCAUCACUAUGUGGGGUGGAAGCUGCACAGACUACAACAAGGCUUCUGGGACCCCACUCCCCUCAAGCAAGACAUUUACCACCUGCUUCACCUAUGAAGGACUGAUUAUUGGCAGUGAUACCACAACGCAUACAAGCUGUUCAGCCUGCUGCCCUCCGGGUAGAGGUACAGGAGUAUCUGCUUCCGCAACUCCAGACUCGCCAACAUCUUCAUCUACCAGACUGUCAUGCCGAAUCGUCCCUCCUCUCUCCCAUCCCAGGAUGCCGAAUUAUGACCAAGUGACUGAAGAACUGCCAUACGUCUUCACUUGGUCAUGGCAUGACCAGAGGCUGUAUGCAGACUCACAGUAUAAUUCUACACGAUCCACUAUAAGUCAUAUUUUAUUUCAGGUGGUUUGAAUAGCUGUGAUACAUUAAUGAUGCCUGCCAACGAUUCUGAAUUGUGUACAGUCUGUAAUAUUUCUUCUUCAAGGGACCAGUCAAGUCGAUGUGACAGUUCCCUGUUGGCCCACUACCAUCUGCCCCGCAUGGUGCGCGACACCAGACACUGGAGCAGCUGGGUCGCCACUCAUCAACGCAGAGUGAAACAGUGCUUUGACCGCUCCCACAGGGUUAAAAGCCCCACACUUGCUCCACUGGACUGAUUGAGGAUCCGCAGGCCUACCCGGGGCCACAAGCUCAAGCUCAAGUCAUUCUGUUCUGCCCCACUGCAAGUGACCCCUGAGCAGCUGAGUCCCGCCAUUUUCCGCCGUGUUCGCAAGGUGCCGCCGCCUACUGCAACAGACCUGGAGGCGACCGGCCCGUACAAGGGCCCAUCCAGGCCAUCUCAGGGACUAUGUACUCUGACAAUAUGAAUGAUGUUCCUGGGUCUCCCCUGGGGAGGGGGGAAAUGUUAUGUCUGCUCUGUUGCCUGUGCUGAUAUUUCAUAUUUCCUGAUGCUACUUGAAGACGACAUAAUAACAUUUGUGCAGGGCAUGCUGGGAUGCGAGUUCAGUGAAAUAAACGUCUGGUAUGGCUAGA